rnacentral:rRNA from 1 species
GACGAACGCUGGCGGCGUGCUUAACACAUGCAAGUCGAACGAUGAAGCCUAGCUUGCUAGGUGGAUUAGUGGCGAACGGGUGAGUAAUACGUGAGUAACCUACCUUUAACUCUGGGAUAAGCCUGGGAAACUGGGUCUAAUACCGGAUACGACCAAUCUCCGCAUGGGGUGUUGGUGGCAAGCGUUAUGUAGUGGUUAUAGAUGGGCUCACGGCCUAUCAGCUUGUUGGUGAGGUAACGGCUCACCAAGGCGACGACGGGUAGCCGACCUGAGAGGGUGAACGGCCACACUGGGACUGAGACACGGACCAGACUCGUACGGGAGGCAGCAGUGGAGAAUAUUGCACAAUGGGCGCAAGCCUGAUGCAGAGACGCCGCGUGAGGGAUGACGGCUUUCGGGUUGUAAACCUCUGUUAGCAGGGAAGAAGAGAAAUUGACGGUACCUGAAGAGAAAGCGCCGGCUAACUACGUG